rnacentral:ncRNA from 1 species
CAAAGGUAUGGUCCAGGCCUUAAUAUCAGCUCUAGCUCAACUUACACAUGCAAGUCUCCGCAACCCAGUGAACUUUGCCCUCACCCCCCGCCCGGGGGUGAGGAGCAGGCAUCAGGCACAAACACUAGCCCAAGACGCCGAGCCAAGCCACACCCCCAAGGGUAUUCAGCAGUGAUAGACAUUAAGCCAUAAGUGAAAACUUGACUAAGUCAGAGCCAAGAGGGCCGGUAAAACUCGUGCCAGCCACCGCGGUUAAACGAGAGGCCCUAGUUGACAUUACAACGGCGUAAAGGGUGGUUAAGGACAAAUAAUAAUAAAGCCAAAUGGCCCUUCGGCAGUUACACGCUUUCUAGAUGUCUGAGGCCCGAUUAUACGAAAGUAGCUUUAAUAAACUAACCUGACCCCACGAAAGCUGAGAAACAAACUGGGAUUAGAUACCCCACUAUGCUCAGCCGUAAACCUAGACAUUAAUUUACAAUAAAAUGUCCGCCAGGGUAUUACGAGCAUUAGCUUAAAACCCAAAGGACCUGACGGUGUUUCAGAUCCACCUAGAGGAGCCUGUUCUAUAACUGAUAACCCCCGUUAAACCUCACCACUUCUAGUCACCCCAGUCUAUAUACCACCGUCGUAAGCUUACCCUGUGAGGGCAGAAAAGUGAGCAAAAUGAGUAUAACCCAGAACGUCAGGUCGAGGUGUAGCGCAUGAAGUGGGAAGAAAUGGGCUACAUUUUCUGUACAGAAUAUUACGGACGUGCACCAUGAAACAGUGCUUGAAGGAGGAUUUAGAAGUAAAAGGAAAACAGAGUGUCCCUUUGAACUAGGCUCUGAAACGCGUACACACCGCCCGUCAUUCUCCCUGUCUAAAAUAUAUAAAUAUACAUAAUACCUCUUAACAGAUAUAAGGGAGGCAAGUCGUAACAAGGUAAGUGUACCGGAAGGUGCACUUGGAAAAACC